GAGGCAGCUUUGUACACUGCCCCCUCUCCAAGUUCCCUGGAUGAGAGCCAGGACGCCCCAAGCCUGGGGAAAGAAAACGGAGCAUGCACAUGGCCUAGAUUCCAGGUCCCCCCCUCCUUCUGGGUAAGAAGCUAAGCUAGGACCUUAGACUUUCCCCUUUCAGAAGGCAGUGGCCAAGGCCCCCCGCCCACCUGGCCAGCCCCCAAGGGCCUCCUCGUGCCUGCAGCCUGGCAUCUUCCUGUUCUACCUCCUCAUUCAGACUGUAGGCUUCUUUGGCUACGUGCACUUCAGCAGGCAGGAGCUGAACAAGAGCCUUCAGGAGUGUCUCUCCACAGGCAGCCUUCCUCUGUGUCCUGCACCACACACCCCCAGGGCCCCGGGGAUUCUGAGGAGGCAGCCUCUCCCUGCCAGCAUGCCUGCCUGACCCACCUCAGAGCCUGCUUUGCAUCACUGGGAAGCAGGCAGUGUCUUGGGUGGGGGCUUGGUCAGUAUCCUCUCUGUCUGGGUGCCCAGCUCCCACCCACACCUGAGCUUUCGGCAUGCUCCCACCUUAUUAAAGGUAAUUUCCCUCUC
rnacentral:sRNA from 1 species